UAAUUGAAGAGUUUGAUCAUGGCUCAGAUUGAACGCUGGCGGCAGGCCUAACACAUGCAAGUCGAGCGGCAGCACAGAGGAACUUGUUCCUUGGGUGGCGAGCGGCGGACGGGUGAGUAAUACCUGGGAAAUUGCCCGGUAGAGGGGGAUAACCAUUGGAAACGAUGGCUAAUACCGCAUAACCUCGUAAGAGCAAAGCA
rnacentral:rRNA from 1 species